rnacentral:rRNA from 1 species
GAUGAACGCUGGCGGCGUGCCUAAUACAUGCAAGUCGAGCGAACGGAUAAGGAGCUUGCUCCUUUGAAGUUAGCGGCGGACGGGUGAGUAACACGUGGGUAACCUACCUAUAAGACUGGAAUAACUUCGGGAAACCGGAGCUAAUGCCGGAUAACAUUUGGAACCGCAUGGUUCUAAAGUAAAAGAUGGUUUUGCUAUCACUUAUAGAUGGACCCGCGCCGUAUUAGCUAGUUGGUAAGGUAACGGCUUACCAAGGCAACGAUACGUAGCCGACCUGAGAGGGUGAGCGGCCACACUGGAACUGAGACACGGUCCAGACUCCUACGGGAGGCAGCAGUAGGGAAUCCUCCGCAAUGGACGAAAGUCUGACGGAGCAACGCCGCGUGAGUGAUGAAGGUUUUCGGAUCGUAAAACUCUGUUAUUAGGGAAGAACAAAUGUGUAAGUAACUGUGCACAUCUUGACGGUACCUAAUCAGAAAGCCACGGCUAACUACGUGCCAGCCGCCGCGGUAA